UACGGGGGGGCAAGCGUUGUUCGGAAUUACUGGGCGUAAAGGGUUCGUAGGUGGCCUGCUAAGUCGGACGUGAAAUCCCUCGGCUCAACCGGGGAACUGCGUCCGAUACUGGUGGGCUCGAGUGCAGGAGAGGAACGCGGAAUUCCAGGUGUAGCGGUGAAAUGCGUAGAUAUCGGGAGGAACACCUGUGGCGAAAGCGGCGCACUGGACCAUAACUGACGCUGAGGCGCGAAAGCUAGGGGAGCAAACAGG
rnacentral:rRNA from 1 species